CACGUUGGGCCUUAUUUGAGCGAGGUAUUGAACUAAACCACUUCUGCAUGUCCCUUGAAGUCCAACCAUAUUAUGGGUCUCUACUAGGAAAAAAAAAAAAGAAUCUGUACAGUUGUCCUACAAACCCUACUGAAUUUUCGUAGCAGUGUUUUUUUAAAGAGUGUUUUGUAGAAUCUUGUACCCUCAUGUUCACCUGAAAGACAAACCAAAUCCAAAGUCAUCAGUAUGACAAUACAAUCGAUUUCAAACUUUCCAAAGAGUGGCUGUAAUACCAAGGAGUAAGUGAUUUUUCAGGCAUGCACAUUCUGUGCCAAAGAGUGACCUUUGCAGUAGCAUGAUGGAAUAGAAAAUUUUGAGAUUUGGGAUUCUGUAGAAAAUUCGUGUGUCUUUAUUCAUUAAAUAAAAUCCUACAUUAAAGGUACUGAUAAUCUGACAUCUUUCAUAGUUUAUUGAACAACCCUUUUGGCUGCUUUUGAUGGCUGAUAGAAAGGUUACAUACAACGUGGAUCAAAACAAAAUUAAAUGGAAGAGGUGAGUCAAAUUUUUCCUGGAAAGCUCUUCACACAAAUAAGUUUUUAUGAACUCUGAGACAUCACGGUCAUUCUUCAUGUUUCACCACUUUCACCAUGAACAAAGGGCUUUUAGGAACCGAGAAACCAAAUACUUCUUCCCUUGAAAAGGUGGAUAAAUACAGACACAAGAAAGAACGGAAAAUAGUAAAGAAAAUUCAGGAUCAGUGGGUUGUGACAAAAUUGUAAAACAGAUUGCCAAGCUGCUAACUGCAGUGUGCAAUCUAUUGCUUAAAUCUGUGUUGCUGCCAGACAAAUAGAAAGGGGUAAAUGUCAUGCUGAAUUUUGAAAAGUGCUCCUGGGUGUUGCAAGCCAAAAAGUCUGGUUUUCAAGCAAAUAAAAUUGGAUGAGAAUAUAAUGAAAGAAAAAAUGAACAGAUCCAUGAUUAAAGAUGAUUAAACAAGCAAAAGUCAACACAGUUUUUGUAGAGAGUAGUUCCGCACAUACCGAAGAGCUUUCUCUGGGGCAAUCAACAAGUAGAUGAGCAGACUUUUUUCUUUAGAAAGUCUCCAGACAAGGUGUCUCAUCAAAAGUGCUCUCAUUUAAAACAUGGGAUGCGUGCUCUUCAAUAUAUUCAUAAAUGAUCUAGAAAAGUUGCUGAAUAAGAAGCCAAAAUCAUUCACAAUAGUCAAAACUAAAGCUGAUGACAAGAAAAAUGAAAAAAAAAAUCUUAGUAUGCAAAAUGACUGUAUUACAAAAUGGCAGAGAAAUUUCAGUGUUAUUAACCACAAAACUGCAGAAAAGGGAGCAGGAAACUAACCUGAUUGCUUAUAUACAACAGCUGCUCCAAAAGUAAUGCCUCCUAUUUUAUGAUGUUGGCCGACAGUGUCAGAAGUGAAUGUUGGUGGCAUGGCAGUUGAGGUUGAACCUUCCCACCAAUACUUCAUUACACUUUGUUGCUGUGUGACGGAUGGCAGCAGAGGGACAGUCUGACAAAAUGGCUCCUGACAAAGUGUGGAUGAAGCAAAAGUGUGAAACUGAAUUCUUCCAUGUGGAAAAAAAAUGGCACCUGCUGACAUUCAUCAAUGUUUGCUGAAUGUUUAUGUAGACCAAACAGUGGAUGUGAGCACAGUGAGGUGAUGGGUGGUGCAUUUCGGCAGUGGUGACAGUGAUCUAACAGACAAGCCAUGUUCCGGAUGGUCAUGCAGAUUUUUAUGAGCAGAGCAUGCUGACUCUUGUUCAUCGCUGCUGAAAAUGAAUAGCUAAUGGUGGUGAUUCUGUUGAAAAAAAGUGUUUUGUAGCUGAGAAUUUACUCUGUCAAACAGCAUUAUUGUGUGCUUUGUGGUUUCCAUGGAAAUAAAUAGGAGGCAUUACUUUUAGAGCAAACUACAUAUAACAAUAAGCUAUCAAUGCCCCUGAAAGUAAUCAUGUAACUAUUGACAGUUGUUCUUGGUGAAAACUAAUGCUCAAAGGAAGGCCAAAAAGAAUUAAAUUAGGAAAUUGUGAACAAAACCAAUUACAUUAUUCUACUGAAUAAAUCCACAUUCCACCCCAGACUUCUUGUGAAACCCAGCCACCAUCAUUGGGCUUGCUUUGUUUGCACCGUCUGGGAAUUGGGAGCUGGUCUCUUGCUGGUGAGACCCUUACCUUCUUGGCAGUACUACUGCUCUUGACUCCAGGAUCUCUGUACUUCAGGGAGCAGCCAGCCCUCACUCUUCUCUGACAUGCUGUUAUCUGCC
ensembl:lncRNA